GCCAUCAGCCGCGGCUCAAUGGCUCCGGCAGCUCGGCGGCGGCGGAGGGGGCUCCCCGCGGCGGGGGGGGCGGCCCGGGGCGGGAGGUGAAGCCCCCCCGGUUUGGGGGGGGGGGGGGGGGGACAGCGCCGGGGGGAGCCGCGAGAAGCGGCCUGAAGGGGAAGGGCUGCGGGGCAGGAGUGCGCCGGAUUUUGAAUCUGGAGGUGGCGGAGCAAAGGAGCAACGGGCUUUCCAGAAUGACUGCAUCAUUGGAACUAAAUGCGCCAUCAGAGAUAAGAUUCGGAUUUUACUGGCUGUAAAGGUUGGGAAUCCCUUUCUUCAGUGUGAAUGGGAACCUCAAGCAUUGCUUGAACCUGCCAAAGCGAAAAUGCCCUCUCCAGGACAGCAGCCUAUGCUGGCACCUCGGUCUCUCCUGGAGAGAUGCAACUGCUGUUUUCUGAGGGCCGAUGGCGAGUCCUGGGCUAACCAAAGUCAUUGGGUUUCAUUCAGUAUAACUGGGUAA
rnacentral:lncRNA from 1 species